GAGCUGCGCUGCUGGUCUGGGUCGUCUUCGCCGGAAAAGUAAACGCAGCGGAGGAUCCUUGAGAAGAAGAGCAGACGAGGUGCUGCAGCUAGGCGUAAUCGAGGUCGCGGUGGAGGUCGGUCAAAGGGGGAUCCACCCUAGCCGAGAGGGACGGGCGGCAGGCUCGCGACGGCGGCGAGCAGCAGCGCGGUGGGAGAAGGUGUGAGGCGACGAGCGACGACCAGAUCCCCUUUCGACAGGCGACGAGCGUGCAGAUCCCCUGAGCAGAUGCAGUCCGAUUGAAGGCGGCGGCCGUUGCGGGUCGAUGGAAAUGGCCGUUGAGUGCACGGAGGAGGCGCAGAUUCCUUGCGCCGGUGGCUUAAUGGCGCACGGAGACGCGCAGCUGGGUCUCAGCUACAGUAGCUUUU
rnacentral:lncRNA from 1 species